GCUUAUGUUUCAACCUCUAACUGUGAGAUUUGCGUUUUUUUUUUUCAAUAAAAAGAAUAAAAGUUUUUGUUGGUUGCUAACUUGGUAUUGCUACCACAGUUGGAGUCAAUUGUGAUCACAUGCAAUUUUGAAAAUCCCCCUAAUAAAGCAUGAUAAUUUAGCAGACAAUGCUGUUUAUUUGUUGAAAUUUUAUUGAUAUUGAUCUUAUAAAAUGGGGAAUGAAGAAUUCACUUUUAUAUAUGCUUAGUACAACACAAAUUUGGGGAAGUUGUGAGUGGAAGAAUGUGAUUCAUUUACAUUCCACACCACAAUUUUUUGGUCAUUACUAAGUAUGAAAUUCAUCCACUUCACCAUGUCGAGCUUGGAGGAACCGCUUGGUCUUGACAAGUUGCCGAGCAUGAAUACUGUUGACAGGAUUCAGAGGUUCUCGUCUGGUGCUUGCCGUCCUAGAGAAGAUAACUUUGGUAUGGGAAUCUGCUUUAUUGAAGGACGAAGUUGCAGCACAUCUAACAGCUGCGAGUUAGUCAAAUGUUUCAAUUUAAGUUUAGAAACUUAAUUGGAUUUUAGUCCGUGCUAUUAUUUAGUCAUCUCUGUACUGUAUCUAUAACGUUGACCCAAUCGUAUCAUGUUGAUCCUACUUAAUUAACUUGAUUUUUUUUGGCUAAAGUGAAAAUAAGUUGAAAAUUCUAUCAAUCCGUAUCUCCUAUUUUAUAUAUUCAAUUUGUUUAUUUAGAUUA